rnacentral:rRNA from 1 species
UACGAAGGGUGCAAGCGUUACUCGGAAUUACUGGGCGUAAAGCGUGCGUAGGCGGUCUUUUAAGUCCGUUGUGAAAGCCCUGGGCUCAACCUGGGAAUGGCAGUGGAUACUGGAAGGCUGGAGUACGGUAGAGGAGGGUGGAAUUCCCGGUGUAGCGGUGAAAUGCGUAGAGAUCGGGAGGAACAUCAGUGGCGAAGGCGGCCCUCUGGACCAGUACUGACGCUGAGGCACGAAAGCGUGGGGAGCAAACAGG